rnacentral:rRNA from 1 species
GACGAACGCUGGCGGCGGGCUUAACACAGGCAGGUCGAGCGAUGAAACGUUAACAGAGCCCUUCGGGUGAGAGCAGAGGGGGCUUAGGUGCGGACGUGGGAUCAACUCGUGAGUAACCUGCCUUAGACAUGGCAACAUCCACGAGAAGCCAGGAUUAAUACCAGAUAACGCCCUAAAGACACAUGACAUAACGACCAACACUCCGGAGGUCUAGGAGGGACUCGCGUCCCAUUAGCUAGCUGAUAGGUUAAAAACCUACCACGGCGACGGUGGGUAGCCGGGCUGCGAGGGGGAACGGCCACAUUGGAAGUGAGAAACGGUCCAAACUCCUACGGGAGGCAGCAGUGGGGAAUAUUGCACCAUGGAGGGAACUCUGAUGCAGCGACGCCGCGUGAACGAAGAAGGCUUUCGAGUCGUAAAGUUCUUUUAUAUGGGAAGAUAAUGACGGUACCAUAAGAAAAAGCCCCGGCUAACUACGUG